rnacentral:rRNA from 1 species
GAACAGGGAAAAGCCCAGCGCCGAAGCCUGUGGCCAAUUGGUCACUAGGCAAUGUGGCGUUAAGGUUGUUCCGCGGAGGUUCCGCCCCACCCUAAGUCCAUCAAUGAGUACGGUAGUAUGGACAUGGCCCAUAGAGGGUGAAAGGCCCGUGGGGGUGGGGAUUCGAUUGGCCGGAAUCUCUCUGGAUAGACCUUGGAGUCGGGUUGUUUGUGAAUGCAGCCCAAAGUGGGUGGUAAACUCCAUCCAAGGCUAAAUACUAGCACGAGUCCGAUAGCGAACAAGUACCGUGAGGGAAAGUUGAAAAGUACUUUGAAGAGAGAGUAAACAGUGCGUGAAACCGCUCAGAAGUAAACGGGUAGAGUUGAACUGCAAGCGCUGAGAAUUCAGCUGAUGAGUGUGAUUUGUGCUUGGCCAAAUUGGUGGACUCCGGGGUCUGCGUAGUAGCAGGUCUCUGCCUUCGGGUGGGGAUGCGCGAUACACUUAUCAAGUGUUGCACGCUCCGGUUGUUUUUCGGCCUUCUCGUCAGUGCACUUUCUCAGUGUGUUCACCACGACCAGCACCGCUGUCUGGCUGCUAUGGUUAAACCGGUUAUGCACAAUCCUUGUGGUUAUGCAUAGACGGGAUGGCAGGUGACUCGUUAGCAGGCUUGUGGCUUUGCCGCAUUCAUUGCUAUUGAAAGUUAUUAGCUGACCAUAGUGGUUCUGUGCAGUGUGUUGGAGGCGGCGGCUUUAGUUGUUGCAGGUGUUUCUGCUUGCUGACUUGUCCGGGUCUGGUUAUUUUGUUGCCUGUUUCCACAGGCCUAGUGAUGGCUCGGGUUCGUUCGGUGGGUUGUUGCAUUUGUGACUUCAUUUCUGGGGCCAAUAGUCUGUGGUGUAGUGGUAGACUUUCUACCUGACCCGUCUUGAAACACGGACCAAGGAGAGGAACAUGUGCGCGAGUCAUUGGGCGUUACGAAACCCACAGGCGAAGUGAAAGUAAAGGUCUGACUUGUUCAGACUGAGGUGAGAUCCUGUCGUUUCCCACGCGCGGUACUACCAAGCAUCGAGCGGCAGGCGCAUCACCGGCCCGUCCCAUGGCAUUUGGUUUUUGACCAGUUUUCGGUCGGGGCGGAGCAUGAGCGUACAUGUUGAGACCCGAAAGAUGGUGAACUAUGCUUGCGCAGGUUGAAGCCAGAGGAAACUCUGGUGGAGGACCGCAGCGAUUCUGACGUGCAAAUCGAUCGUCAAACGUGAGUAUAGGGGCGAAAGACUAAUCGAACCAUCUAGAGCGGUCCCC